rnacentral:lncRNA from 1 species
GGCUUCUUUGGCUAAUUUAACCAAAAGCUCAACGGUCUCUUCGGUGAUCAAGUUCUUGGAGAAAUCGAACAAGAUAGGUCCAUCUUCUUCUUUUAAUCCGUUAAAAGUAAAAGAAAAUUUCUCAAAACGGGAUGAAUCCUUGGCGAACAAUUCCUUGAGGACGAGAUGCUUACCAACGGACUCAUAAUGGGUUUGAACGGCCUGCCAUGCAGGAAGAGUAGAAGCUAAGCUAAAAGACAUGUCUGUAUAUUAUGGAAAUGAAAGGAAAAUCUACUUCUCAAAAAUUACAGAUCAAAUAUAAAACAAUAACACCCAGUGCUCUUUGCUUGUAAGAUCUUGUGAUGAUUUUGUACGAUGUUAGUGUUCGGCGAAGGGAUGAUCAACCUGUUCCUAUAUAUAGUCCCGAAACACUAGGGCACGUGACCUCAUACAAUUUAUGCGUACAAUCGCUAAGUAUUUCUAGUUGCUUCGCGGAAUAAGAACCCCAACCUUAGCAAAAACUGUAUCGUCACUACUGUAUAUAGCAUUAACGAUUCUCACCGCAAUUUCUUUAAACAAUGCAAGCAAACGUUGAUGUUUUCAAGGUUCAGCAUGAUUAUGAACGCUACGCUAUGCCAUUCUACAGGUGAGAGAGCUUAAACAAUAUAUGGGAUAAAAUGUGCAACUACCUCAGUAUAAUGUACAUAUGCAUGUGCGGAUUCCUAUAUACUUUGUAUUGAACGAAAGAAGAAAAUAACUAAUGGCAAGCGCUUCUAAAGGAUCGAAACUGAUCUGACAUCGGUUAGGUGAGAAUGUAAAUAUUGCUUAAUAGCGGAAGUAAUCGGAAUCGGAUGAGAAAUAAGAAUCUAGUCAAAGUAAUCGAGUUAUUAAACCUUAACGUCCCGGAUCAAAAACUCUUGUCUAUUAAUCUUCUAAACUUAUUAAAACCGAAUUUGCAGUUAGCAUCAGUCGCCUUACCAAUUUUCGUUGCUAGCUGCAAGUGUUGAAAUUCCCAAAAUGUCCGUUUCUUCUAAUUUAAUGUAUUUUCGUCGUCAGAUCCAUUUUCCAAGAAGGAAAGAAAAAAUUUGCAGCAUAAUUGUGUGCGAAGAGUGAAAUGGAACUUAAAUUAAGCUUCCGGAGAGGACAGUGUGCGAAGUCCCUGUAGAGUUUGUUCGUAUAUAAGCAUAGUAAUUGCUCUAAGAGAAUAAAAUGUCAGUAAAUAAAACAUAGAGUUUAACAAAUAGAUAAUAGAAUAAUAAAAAUGGCACGAUAACCAUAAACAUUCGUACCUUCCAGGCGCAACUUUAAGCAUGCUGACUGAUAAACCUCUAUACAGUCCUUUGAUUCCAGAGUUACGAUAGAUGGAAAGGAAGCAAUCUUUAAACGAUUUAUAGUUUGAGGGGAAGGUUUGUAAAGUUUUUACUACGGUGUCGACCGGAAACAUGAUAGCUUUUGAUCCAGCGCCGGCGAUGACCCCACUCAAGGUAGAGCUGAGCGCAAGACCCAGAGGCGACAAGACGGCCUCUGAUGCUCUAUAAAACAUGAAGAAGCAUCCUGCGUAAGGACCGAUUUGGAUGACGGAGAAUUUGAGUCCUGGAAAAAAACCUUUGAUGCCUGCUUCUGCGUAAAUUUUUUUCGUAGCAGGAAGCAUAUGAGGUGUCUUGGCGUAAGAAGCAAACUUUGUACGCAUUGUAUCAAGUGGAUAGGACGUGAGUGUAGCAAAAAUUCCUGCUGAAGUUCCACACAGAAAGUUGACUGCAUGGUCAUUCAUAGCGAGAUUCUCUGUUAAAUGUUUUAACUUUGAAAAAGCCACAAAUUCGGCAGCACCAUAUACUAAGUAAAGCAGUUCAGCAACCACGUUUCCUCUCCACAAAGCUCGUACGCCUUCCUUCUGAACAGUCUCUUUAAAGACCGGCCUCAACGAAGACUGGGUAAUUUGCAUACGAAUUUUUAUCACAUCAAAUGGUGCUAUCAUAAAUCUAGUUUAAAUCGUUAAUUGACUAUUUCCCUGCCACUUAGCCAUACCGACAAAUUACGGAUGAAAUGCCACCAGCCAAAGUGUAAUGCCAAACAGGUUGGGCAAACUCUUGCGAGUCCUUUUGCUUUGCAAGGCCCAUCGAUAGUGUUUGUUUCUACAAUCGGCAAUUAAUUAUUACAAAGCCGGAGGCGUAAGAUUUGUUUAAAUCUUAUAACUGUUGGUUUAACUACAAUCUCGGGUAUUUUGUAUUCACGUAUAAGUGUAAUGGGAGUUCAAAAAUUUCGCCCACCGAAUUACACGAACAAAUACUGUUUGCGGCUUUUCCGAUUAGACUUUUUGAGCACACAUCUCAGUUAAUAUAGAAUAUUGAUUAAUUAACUUACCGG